GGGCUGCACAUGCUGUUUCCCAGCCUGCUUCAAAAACACAUGCUGUCCACCUCCAGCCAGUUCCUGCUGCAGGAAAGAGGCUGCAGUCGCAAUAGGAGCAACAACACACCACGAGGAAGAGGAGGAGGAGGAGGAGGAGGAUGGUGGUGGUGGAGCAGGCCGGGAGGGAGGAGGGGGAGAAAAACCGGUUUCCAAUAGUGACGGAUGAUUUGUAGGUAACAGUUGUUUGCCUUGCAGCCUGAGGCCUGUUGAGGCUGCAGCAGCUCUGAGGCUGGGAGCUCAGACGGGUCCAAAAGGACCCGUCUGAGCUCCCAGCCUCAGAGCUGCUGCUGACCAGAGAGAUGCGGCUUCACGGAUGCAAACCUUCACCUGCAGCGUCGACCUGUUGGUUGUGGUUCUGCCUGAACUUUGUGCUCAGUUCCAGCCCCUCUGCAGCGCCCCCUGCUGCAUGAAAACCGCAGAGGAACACCUGAACCACAAAAGUUCAGAAGACCCCAAAAGCAUAACAGGACACUGAAACAAAUGAAACAAAUGAACUUUCCAGGGACGUGGAAAAUGCCAAACAGCUAAAGGCAGUGAGAGAAAAGAUGAUCCGAUUUCAGGACAAGAGGGAAAAACGGAGCUUCAUACACGACCAGACUCAAAGCUCCAAACCGUCAUGAACAAAGUCUGACAAUGACGUCAACAUUCAACGCGGAUGAUCAAAAUAGCUUCAAUGUAAAUGAAGUGACAGACUGCAAAAAGGGAACCUUAAGAAAAUAAAAAAGACUUGCAAGAAAUAGAAUCUUACCAAUAAAGUUAAGGGGCUGGAAAACUCUUUAAAACCUGAAAAGUUUCAGGUUUCAACCUCCUGCAUGUAGGGAUCACUCAGCGACAUCACAUCCUGCAGCAGCAAAGAAAUGAAGAAUGUAUUCAGUGUGAUUAAAGGAACUGGUUUCACAUCACUCCACUUUGUCUCCAGGGAGUCUGGAUUCUUCAGAUGACAAACAGACGUGACGGGGUUAAAGUUGGGUUUGACUCCACCUUCAGGAAUGUGCUGUGACGGCAAAGGUCCUCCCAAAAAGACAGGACCAAAUACGUGUGCGCGCUCGCAUGUGUGUGUGUGUGUCCUUCUGUGUGUGUGUGUGACCUGGACCAACCAGUUUGUGAUGCUGAUGCAUCAGAUCCUCCUGCUGUGAUGUCAGAUCACCUGUCAGGCGCGUUCAUACUUGCAGGGACCGUCAGGUUGGCACAAACCUUUGAAAAAGUUUGGUUUGUUCUCCAGAAACAGACUUCAACAGAGAAGAUGUUGACAGUUUGAGCUCAGUAAUCCUUCCCUGAUGACACAAAACAAGUCAAAAUGUUAAACACAUUUAUGCUAAAGAGGAGAAAUAGUCAGGCGAAAUAUGUUUUUCUUUUGCAGCUUUAUGUCAUCAUUAUAUCAUUUAUAACAUAUAACAUCAUUUUUUAGAAAUUCCAAUGAACUACGUAAUAAAAAAAAAAUGCCAGUCACAAAAGUUUGUCAAAGAAGCUGUUGAAGGCUCUUUCUCCCCCUGCUGGUGGAUGUUGUGAACUGCAGACGUUUCCAGGCCAACGUCACAGAGAGGAAGGAUGCUCUUGGAAUUAGUUUAACAAUCAUUUUGUGGCCCAGUUCAGCAUUUUUAUGCCAUCUUAAUUCUUUGUUCUAUGUUCGUUUUUUCUCUUAAAAUGUCUAUAAUUCAUAACAUUUAGAAUAUUUUUGAGCAGACUUAAUUUUUUAUUAAAUUGAUGUUAAAAAUGA